rnacentral:other from 2 species
GUUAAUCUGCGAUGCACGUCGACGUCUUUUAUUAAUUCAACCGACAUCGAAGAUCCGGGAGACUGAGUCUUUGGUAUGAUAAAAUGCCCGCCAGACGGGACUUUAGAGUACUCGAGCAGGUCACCCACCUACUAGUUGGGAGCGGGUCUGAAUUAAUAUAGCUGACGACACCGCGGAUUUUUU